rnacentral:misc_RNA from 1 species
AAAGUCGUAACAAGGUUUCCGUAGGUGAACCUGCGGAAGGAUCAUUAUUGAAUUUGGUUCCGUAUGGACCAAUGUGAGUCAUCAUGGAUGCUUUUGGUGUUGUCGGCUGUUUGGCUGAUUUCUCUAGGCGUGCCUAGAGCAGCAUCAGAAGGUUAGCCAAACUUUAUUGAGGUUGUGUAGAAAUUUGGAUCUAAAGUUAAAACUUUCAACAAUGGAUCUCUUGGCUCCU